CUACGGGCGGCAGCAGUGGGGAAUUUUGGACAAUGGGCGCAAGCCUGAUCCAGCCAUUCCGCGUGAGUGAAGAAGGCCUUCGGGUUGUAAAGCUCUUUCGCAAGGGAAGAAAACUUACUUUCUAAUAAAGAGUGAGGUUGACGGUACCUUGAUAAGAAGCACCGGCUAACUACGUGCCAGCAGCCGCGGUAAUACGUAGGGUGCGAGCGUUAAUCGGAAUUACUGGGCGUAAAGCGUGCGCAGGCGGUUUUGUAAGUCAGAUGUGAAAUCCCCGAGCUCAACUUGGGAACUGCGUUUGAAACUACAAGACUAGAGUAUGUCAGGGGGGGGUAGAAUUCCACGUGUAGCAGUGAAAUGCGUAGAGAUGUGGAGGAAUACCAAUGGCGAAGGCAGCCCCCUGGGAUAAUAUUGACGCUCAUGCACGAAAGCGUGGGGAGCAAACAGGAUUAGAUACCCCCGUAGUC
rnacentral:rRNA from 1 species